rnacentral:lncRNA from 1 species
UAAUAAUAAUAAUAAUAAUAAAAUCAUGUAAGAUAUACAUACAUACAUACAUAUAUACUAGAGCUAGGCUGGUAUACUAUCGGUAGUACGGAGGCUUUCGCGCUACCAAGUUAUUUUCAAUGAUGCGGCUUACAAAUCGAUGAUCAGCUCUGUUAGAUUUGAUCUACAUUAUUGAAUAUAUUUGGAAACUAAAUUUCAUAAAUUUUUGGCAUCAUUUACCUAUCAAACGAGUAGUCUAAAAAUGAACUGCUGAAAAUAAAAAUUUUCUAAAAAAUGAUGAUAAAAGACUUGAAUUUAAGAUCAAAGGUGCUGAUUUUACUCUAAAUAGUGAAAAGAAUUUUUUAUAAAAAUUUCAUUAGAUUUGGAUUGUUUUACACCGUUAAAUUCACAAACGCAUCACAUCUACCAUUAAAACUGUCAAUUUUAAGACCUUUUGAUCAGUAGCCAAAUGAUGUCGAAAAAUUAUGAAAUUUAGUUUCCAAAUACUCUUAAUAGUGUAGAUCAAGUCUAACGAAGCCGAUCGUCGAUUUGGAAGUCGCAUCAUUGAAAAUAAAUUGGCAGCAUACAGACUUCCGUGUUACCGAUAAUAUAGCAGGCAAACUCUCUCUCUCUCUCUCUCUCUCUCUAUAUAUAUAGUAUGUAUGUAUGUAUGUUUUUUUCUUUUUUUGUCCUCGAGUGUUUGGUCGGUUUGUCACGGAGCCUGUACUUAUAUUCAACACCCUCACCCGCCAAGUUGGUUCGAGCAACGGGACCACUUCCACCACCUCAUACGCUUGGACAAGUUAUUGCUUUCACCUUCUAUAUAUGUACUACUGCAUCCCUUUCCACGCGUCAUGCACCGCACUUAAUAUUUGAAAUAAACAUAUUACAAAAUUUAACGGUCGAUGAUAUAAAUGCGUAUCACUCAAUCUACAAUUUCUUAUAAUAUAUACAGAAUUGAGCUCGAACUAAAAAGUAUUCUAGCUCGACUCAUUAUAUUAUGUUUUCGCGCCCUCUACAUAAAAUAAAAUUUCUGUGCACACAUUCCUUUUAGAAAAAGUAUUAUAACACAUUUCUCCCUA